rnacentral:rRNA from 1 species
AGAGAGAGACAUGCGCGCAUAUCAAUAAGCGGAGGAAAAGAAACUAACAAGGAUUCCCUUAGUAACGGCGAGUGAAGCGGGAAGAGCUCAAAUUUGAAAUCUUCAAGGUUCUACCUUGACGAAUUGUAGUUUAUAGAAGUGUUUUCUGUUAGUGGAGUGGCAAAAGUUCUUUGGAAUAGGACAUCAUAGAGGGUGAGAAUCCCGUAUUUGGUCAUUCCUCCUAGCGUUGUGAUACACUUUCAACGAGUCGGAUUGUUUGGGAAUGCAGUCCAAAAUGGGUGGUAAAUUUCAUCUAAAGCUAAAUAUUGGCGAGAGACCGAUAGCGAACAAGUACCGUGAGGGAAAGAUGAAAAGAACUUUGAAAAGAGAGUUAAACAGUACGUGAAAUUGUCAAAAGGGAAGCGUUUGACACCAGUGUUGUUUUUCCGAAAAUCAAUUACGAAUGUUUUAUUUUUGAGGAGUUAUGACUUCAUCGGCUUGCUCCUUUCUUUAUGAAACUUUCUUAAUGCACUUUUCGGUUAACAAGUCAACAUCAAUUUCUUUUGUUGUAAAAGGGUAUGAGGAAGGUGGCUUUCUUUUCGGAGAAAGUGUUUAUAGCCUUGUACCUCUGCAAUCGGAGAGAUUGAGGUCUGCAGCGUAGAUCCUUCGGGGUUAGAUACAUUUGUGCUAAGUUAUAGCUUUUCAUAGACAACUUGUUGACUAUGUUUAGUCUUGUAGCUUACUCGCUGAUGCUAUUUUACCUACGCUUAGGAUGUUGAUAGUCACAGCGUGUAC